rnacentral:rRNA from 1 species
UACGGGGGGAGCAAGCGUUGUUCGGAUUUACUGGGCGUAAAGAGCUCGUAGGCGGUCUGUCGCGUCUGCUGUGAAAACUCGGGGCUUAACCCCGGGCCUGCAGUGGGUACGGGCAGACUAGAGUCAGGUAGGGGAGAACGGAAUUCCUGGUGUAGCGGUGAAAUGCGCAGAUAUCAGGAGGAACACCGGUGGCGAAGGCGGUUCUCUGGGCCGGUACUGACGCUGAGGAACGAAAGCGUGGGGAGCGAACAGG